rnacentral:rRNA from 1 species
GACGAACGCUGGCGGCGUGCCUAAUACAUGCAAGUUGAGCGCUGAAGGUUGGUACUUGUACCCACUGGAUGAGCAGCGAACGGGUGAGUAACGCGUGGGGAAUCUGCCUUUGAGCGGGGGACAACAUUUGGAAACGAAUGCUAAUACCGCAUAAAAACUUUAAACACAAGUUUUAAGUUUGAAAGAUGCAAUUGCAUCACUCAAAGAUGAUCCCGCGUUGUAUUAGCUAGUUGGUGAGGUAAAGGCUCACCAAGGCGAUGAUACAUAGCCGACCUGAGAGGGUGAUCGGCCACAUUGGGACUGAGACACGGCCCAAACUCCUACGGGAGGCAGCAGUAGGGGAUCUUCGGCAAUGGACGAAAGUCUGACCGAGCAACGCCGCGUGAGUGAAGAAGGUUUUCGGAUCGUAAAACUCUGUUGGUAGAGAAGAACGUUGGUGAGAGUGGAAAGCUCAUCAAGUGACGGUAACUACCCAGAAAGGGACGGCUAACUACGUG